rnacentral:tRNA from 1 species
ACUCGUAGCUCAAUUGGAUACCUGCCUGCCGGCAGGCAGGGAGCGUUGGCCUCCGGAGCCAAAGGUUUCGGGUUCGACUCCCGACGAGUGUA